AACGAACGCUGGCGGCAGGCCUAACACAUGCAAGUCGAACGCCCUAGCAAUAGGGAGUGGCAGACGGGUGAGUAACACGUGGGAACCUUCCCUAUAGUACGGAAUAGCCCAGGGAAACUUGGAGUAAUACCGUAUACGCCCGAAAGGGGAAAGAUUUAUCGCUAUAGGAUGGGCCCGCGUAGGAGUAGCUAGUUGGUGAGUUAACGGCUCACCAAGGCGACGAUCCUUUGCUGGUCUGAGAGGACGACCAGCCACACUGGGACUGAGACACGGCCCAGACUCCUACGGGAGGCAGCAGUGGGGAAUAUAGGACAAUGGGCGCAAGCCUGAUCCAGCCAUGCCGCGUGAGUGAUGAAGGCCUUAGGGUUGUAAAGCUCUUUUGGCGGGGACGAUAAUGACGGUGCCCGCAGAAUAAGUCCCGGCUAACUUCGUGCCAGCCGCCGCCGUAAAAC
rnacentral:rRNA from 1 species